UAACCAUUUGCUUUUCCCAGAGUCCAAGGAUUACCAGGCAAUUUAAAUUUAAUGCACUAACAUCAAGGAAGGAAAAGACCUUCAAGAAGUUCCUUAAGUCAUUCCAAGGUGUGUUGAAAAACUUCAGUCUCAAGCCUUUAAAGCACUUUUAUGUGGAGGAAAGGGGAAACCUUCCUGCUUGGGUCAAGGCCACCAA